rnacentral:rRNA from 1 species
UGCCAGCAGCCGCGGUAAGACGGAGGGUGCGAACGUUGUUCGGAAUCACUGGGCAUAAAGCGCGCGUAGGCGGUCCACUAAGUCAGUUGUGAAAUCCCUCGGCUCAACCGAGGAACUGCAACUGAUACUGGUGGACUUGAGGAUGGUAGGGGUGAGCGGAACUCCAGGUGGAGCGGUGAAAUGCGUAGAUAUCUGGAGGAACACCGGUGGCGAAAGCGGCUCACUGGACCAUCACUGACGCUGAGGUGCGAAAGCGUGGGGAGCGAACAGGAUUAGAUA